UACAGAGGGUGCAAGCGUUGCUCGGAAUCAUUGGGCGUAAAGGGCAAGUAGGUGGUCUCAUUUGUCUAGGGUGAAAUCCUUGAGCUUAACUCAAGAAGUGCCCUAGAAACGGUGAGACUCGAGUUCUGGAGAGGGUAGUGGAAUUCCCGGUGUAGCGGUGAAAUGCGUAGAGAUCGGGAGGAACACCAGAGGCGAAGGCGGCGACCUGGACAGAUACUGACACUCAACUGCGAAGGCGUGGGGAGCAAACAGG
rnacentral:rRNA from 1 species